AGCUAGUUGGUGAGGUAAUGGCUCACCAAGGCUAAGACGGGUAGGGGGCGUGAGAGCGUGACCCCCCACACUGGUACUGAGACACGGACCAGAUACCUGCGGGUAGCAGCAGCAAGGAAUAUUGCGCAAUCGACGAAAGUCGGACGCAGCAACGCCGCGUGAAGGAUGAAGGCCUUCGGGUCGUAAACUUCUUUAGAGGGAGACGAGAAAGGACGGUAUCCCUAGAAUAAGCGACGGCAAACUACGUGCCAGCAGCCGCGGUAACACGUAGGUCGCGAGCGUUAUCCGGAUUUACUGGGCGUAAAGCGCUUGUAGGCGGUUCUGUAAGUCGGGCGUGAAAUCUCCGGGCUUAACCCGGAGUGGCCGUUCGAUACUGCAGGGCUUGAGGAUGCUAGAGGGUGGUGGAAUUCCAGGUGUAGUGGUGAAAUGCGUAGAUAUCUGGAGGAACAUCCGUGGCGAAGGCGGCCACCUGGGGCAUUCCUGACGCUGAGAAGCGACAGCUAGGGGAUCAAACGGGAUUAGAAACCCCGGUAGUCCUAGCCGUAAACGAUGGACGCUAGGUGUUGGCAGAUCUAACCCUGUCUGCGCCGAAGCAAACGCGUUAAGCGUCCCGCCUGGGAACUACGGUCGCAAGAUUAAAACUCAAAGGAAUUGACGGGGACCCGCACAAGCAGCGGAGCGUGUGGUUUAAUUCGAUCCUACACGAAGAACCUUACCCAGGUUUGACAUACUAGUGGUAGUGAACUGAAAGGGGAACGACCCGCAAGGGAGCUAGUACAGGUGUUGCAUGGCUGUCGUCAGCUCGUGUCGUGAGAUGUUGGUUUAAGUACCCUAACGAGCGCAACCCUUAUUGCCAGUUACACGUAUCUGGCGAGACUGCCGGCCACAAGCCGGAGGAAGGCGAGGAUGACGUCAAGUCAGCAUGGCCUUUAUAUCUGGGGCUACACACACGCUACAAUGGGCGUAACAAUGGGAUGCCAAGCCGCGAGGCGGAGCCAAUCCCCCAAAUACGUCCUCAGUUCAGAUUGCAGGCUGCAACCCGCCUGCAUGAAGUCGAAGUUGCUAGUAAACGCGCGUCAGCUAUAGUGCGUUGAAUACGUUCCCGGUCUUGUACACACCGCCCGUCACACUAUGGGAGCUGGUAAUACCUGAAGCCGGUAGCCUAACCGCAAGGAAGGCGCCGUCAAAGGUAGGGCUGGUGACUGGAGUGAAGUCGUAACAAGGUAGCUGUACGGGAACGUGCGGCUGG
rnacentral:rRNA from 1 species